UGUAGUAAUACAAGGCAGACGGCUCAGUAACGCGUAGUCAACCUACCCUAUGGACGGGGAUAACCUCGGGAAACUGAGAAUAAUACCCGAUAGAACAUUAUACCUGGAAUGGUUUAUGUUUCAAAUAAUUUAUUGCCGUAGGAUGGGACUGCGGCCUAUCAGUUUGUUGGUGAGGUAAUGGCCCACCAAGACUAUUACAGGUACGGGCUCUGAGAGGAGUAGCCCGGAGAUGGGUACUGAGACACGGACCCAGGCCCUAUGGGGCGCAGCAGGCGAGAAAACUUUGCAAUGUGCGAAAGCACGACAAGGUCAAUCCGAGUGGUUUCUGCUAAAGGAACCUUUUGUCAGUCCUAGAAACACUGAUGAAUAAGGGGUGGGCAAGUUCUGGUGUCAGCCGCCGCGGUAAAACCAGCACCUCAAGUGGUCAGGAUGAUUAUUGGGCCUAAAGCAUCCGUAGCCUGCUUUGUUAGUUUUCGGUUAAAUCCAUACGCUCAACGUAUGGGCUGCCGGGAAUACUGCAAAGCUAGGGAGUGGGAGAGGUAGACGGUACUCGGUAGGAAGGGGUAAAAUCCUUUGAUCUAUUGAUGACCACCUGUGGCGAAGGCGGUCUACCAGAACACGUCCGACGGUGAGGGAUGAAAGCUGGGGGAGCAAACCGGAUUAGAUACCCGGGUAGUCCCAGCUGUAAACUAUGCAAAUUUGGUGAUGCAUUGGCUUGAUGCUAAUGCAGUGCCGCAGGGAAGCCGUUAAGUUUGCCGCCUGGGAAGUACGUUCGCAAGUAUGAAACUUAAAGGAAUUGGCGGGGGAGCACCACAAGGGGUGAAGCCUGCGGUUCAAUUGGA
rnacentral:rRNA from 1 species